rnacentral:rRNA from 1 species
GACGAACGCUGGCGGCGUGCUUAACACAUGCAAGUCGAACGGAAAGGCCCUGCUUUUGUGGGGUGCUCGAGUGGCGAACGGGUGAGUAACACGUGAGUAACCUGCCCUUGACUUUGGGAUAACUUCAGGAAACUGGGGCUAAUACCGGAUAGGAGCUCCUGCUGCAUGGUGGGGGUUGGAAAGUUUCGGCGGUUGGGGAUGGACUCGCGGCUUAUCAGCUUGUUGGUGGGGUAGUGGCUUACCAAGGCUUUGACGGGUAGCCGGCCUGAGAGGGUGACCGGCCACAUUGGGACUGAGAUACGGCCCAGACUCUUACGGGAGGCAGCAGUGGGGAAUAUUGCACAAUGGGCGGAAGCCUGAUGCAGCAACGCCGCGUGCGGGAUGACGGCCUUCGGGUUGUAAACCGCUUUCGCCUGCGACGAAGCGUGAGUGACGGUAAUGGGUAAAGAAGCACCGGCUAACUACGUG